GGCAAAGUGGGGCGGGCGCGGGACGCGUGCGGGAUUGCGGCGGCAGCGGGGCACGCGGGCACCUGGGAGCGGCGGGCUGCGGCGGGAGGCGUUGGAGACUGGCUCCCGAGGGCUGUUAGGACCUUCCCUCAGGCCCGGGUGCUCAGAACGCUGGAGGACUUGCUUUUCUUGGGCCUUGAUGCGAAGUGCUGACCCCGCUGGGCAGGCGGGGCAGCUCCGGCGCUCCUCUGAGACCACUGCGCUCCACGUUGAGGUGGGUGUGGGGGGCGCACAGGAAUUGAAGUGGAAGUUUGGGAAGCUUUAGGGUCGCUAGAGGGGGACUCCGGUUGGAGAGUGGAGCGGAACUUCUGGACAAGCCCUGACAAGCCAAGCCAAAGGUCCGCUCCGGCGCGAGUGGGUUCUUACGUCUGUUGCUAGAUUAUCGUCCAAAAGUGUUAAUGCCCAAGUGACUGACAUCAACUCCAAGGGACUGGAAUUGAGGAAGACUGUUACUACAGUUGAGACUCAGAACUUGGAAGGCCUGCAUCAUGAUGGCCAAUUCUGCCAUAAGCCCUGUCCUCCAGGUGAAAGGAAAGCUAGGGACUGCACAGUCAAUGGGGAUGAACCAGACUGCGUGCCCUGCCAAGAAGGGAAGGAGUACACAGACAAAGCCCAUUUUUCUUCCAAAUGCAGAAGAUGUAGAUUGUGUGAUGAAGGACAUGGCUUAGAAGUGGAAAUAAACUGCAUCCGGACCCAGAAUACCAAGUGCAGAUGUAAACCAAACUUUUUUUGUAACUCUACUAUAUGUGAACACUGUGACCCUUGCACCAA
rnacentral:sRNA from 1 species